rnacentral:rRNA from 1 species
GUCUAAUACCGGAUAGGACGAUGGUUUGGAUGCCAUUGUGGAAAGUUUUUUCGGUGUGGGAUGAGCUCGCGGCCUAUCAGCUUGUUGGUGGGGUAAUGGCCUACCAAGGCGUCGACGGGUAGCCGGCCUGAGAGGGCGACCGGCCACACUGGGACUGAGACACGGCCCAGACUCCUACGGGAGGCAGCAGUGGGGAAUAUUGGACAAUGGGCGCAAGCCUGAUCCAGCCAUGCCGCGUGUGUGAAGAAGGCCUUUUGGUUGUAAAGCACUUUAAGCGAGGAGGAG